GCCAAUGUGGCACAGUGGUUUGAGUGUUGGACUAUGACUCCGGAGACCAGAGUUCGAUUCCAAGGUUGGACC